GGACAGGUGACAAUGGGACAGGUGACAGUGACACUGGACAGGUGACAAGGGACACGUGAGAGGGACAGGUGACAUUGGGAGGGGACAGGUGACAUUGGACAGGUGACACUGGGCAGGUGACAUUGGGAGGGGACAGGUGACAAUGGACAGGUGACACUGGACAGGUGACA